rnacentral:pre_miRNA from 1 species
GAGACACCCUUCUGGGGCAAGACUUGCUUCAGUGGGGCUUUGGUGCUCACUGAGUCUGCCCCAUGAGUGUGUCCCU